UUUACAGCUGGUGUCCAAUCUCUGUGUACCUGCAAACUCUGGCACUGGAGACAUCAUCCGAAACUCUAAGCGCAACACUCAUAAAAAGAUGUGGAUGACUUGGUAGAGACUCCUACUGGGCAGACAGUCGCUGACAACAGGUGGAGACCCCGACAGCACUUUCCAGCUUUCUGUCCAUCGUCAUGCUGAUGACUCUGUACCCGCCAUGCUUUAGCAGAUAUCUACAUUAGAAAAAUAUUUGCCUAUAAAUAGUCAGUAAUUAUUAUAACAAGCUCUGUGCUAUAAAGAAACAUCAGCCUGUGAUCAGAUGAAAGUGUUAGGGAGAAACAGAAAAAAUCACACAUCUGACUAGUCCGUGAUGUGUUUCAACUUGUCCAAACCUUGUUUGUUAUUUGAUUUCUGAGAAGCCAGUCCUGGUUCUGAGAUGGACAUAGACUGAUUGCUUUUUAAUGUGAGGACUACACGUGAUGUAUCCUCUUGACAACUAGUACCACUGUAACGAGUGCUACAGUAAAGUCUUACACAAGCAUUUUGCUCUAAUUUCUCGCCACUUUCAAUUAAAAACUAAAUUUCCCAUGGUGCACCUUGUUGUCUAACCGCGGCUAUUCGACAAUAUUUUCACUGGAUGUUUAGUGAAUUAGUGCAAAUUAUAAAUCAGAAUUAAAAUUUUAAAAAGCUC